rnacentral:tRNA from 1 species
GGGGCCGUAGGGUAGCCUGGACGAUCCUGUAAGGCUGGGGGUCUUGCGACCGGAGUUCAAAUCUCCGCGGCCCCA